rnacentral:piRNA from 1 species
UAUAUUGCCAAAUUGCCCUCCAGAAA